CGUUGAAUUUAUCUACGUGAACGGCGAAGCGACGCUGGGCAACAGGCUGUGUUGUUGCGGUUUGUGUUUUUGAGUGGGGAAACAAAUCAUUCGUCAUGCGAUAGCGCUAUCGUAGCUUAUCGGUCUUUUCUCUCGUACAGAGCUCAGUGCGCUACGCGCGUUCGUCUUGAGGAUUCUUUAUUCCCGUUAGGCUGCAUUAUAACGAUGAUCUCCAUCCAAAACCCACAGCUCAAGGCCAUAUUUCUCGUUCACCUGCUCCUCACAGUAUGGCCGUUGCAGGAAGCAUGGGCCCCCCAAGCGUAUCUCUACUACAACCUCAUUUAUCUGCUGAUGUUGGCUUGGGCGAUACAUCACAAGGAUUCCGAGGAGCCCGUAUUUAUGGCAUUAGCAAUAAACCUUGGUACAAUCCUAAUGGACAUUGUCACACUGGGAAUGCACUUCCCGCACCAAUUCACAUUCUGUGCUGGCAUUGCCAUUGUUAAUCUUUUGUUUCGGCCAGUGUCGUCAGUAUUUCUGCUGCGCAUCUUCAAUGAGCGGGGAGGCAGAUAUGCAGACCUGGGCAUUCCAAACUUCCCUGGCGGUGUGGGCAGCACUGGCCGAGGUCAGUACGAUGAUAUCGACCAGACUACUACCCAGAGCGUGCCGAAGACCGGAUUAGACACUGGAAGCCCAAGCCAUGUGUACUCCUCAGGAGGCGAUGGGCUGCCGCCUUACUCGCAGCCAUAGUCGCUCAAUCGCAGCUUCCCCACUCAUUUUGUUGGAACAGUGCCGUCUUCAGUGGCCAGAACUGACGUCUGACCAUGAUUGCACACGCACUCUUCAAUUCAGCAUCUAGUUUUCUUGUUUCUCUCUGUAUCUCUUCUUCAAUUAAUUGUCCACAGUUGAAUUCCUUUGCUUAGUAUGGUACGUGAACCUUGUGAGGAAGUCUUGAUGGCCAAGUAUGAGCUUAUUUCGCCAGUCUUGUGUGGUGUAAGAUAACGUGUUAAGACCGAUUUACUUCAUUCAUUUAUAUGCUGGCCAUGUUAGUGUACCAGCAUGAGCAGUCUUCCCACGGUCCUGGUAACAAAAGCAUGUUCAGGCUGUGGAAAUGUACAAUUCUUUGUAGCUCUGAAGUCUAAAUGAUGGCUUAAACAGAUAAGGCUUAUAAGUCUGUCUGGUGUUUGCUUUUUAAUCUUUAAUUUAUUUACUACUGUCAUGAAAUGGCUUUCUAAACCAUGCUGCAAGGCCAAGAGCGUUGAUUCGAGCUGUUGGUGGCACUGUUCAUGAAAAUUUACUUGUCUUACCUCUUGUAAUGCCUAAAUGUUAAUAGCAUGGCAUUUUUUUGUGCACAUGUUAGCUGAAUACAAUAAAUCGCUCUGCAAUCUUCUUUUUCUUUAAAUUUGGUCAUGGACAAAGAACUGAAGUAUAGCAUUUAGAGUAGCAGUUGUUAAUGCUGUUUUUGUCUCAUAUAACUUUGUUCACACAUAGGUCGCUCAUUUUUGGCCAUUGAAGACAGUGCUACUGUUUCUCUUGUAAACAAGCAAUGCAUUGCAAGAAUGACGGCUGGAAAAUUUUGUUGAAUGUGUGAAGUGGGUACUGAACAAUUGAGCAUUGUUUCUUUGCAUUAAGCUACAUGUGCUAACGGGCAAAAUGCAGCAGCUUAGAAAGAAAUUUCACAGUAUCUUCCGCAAUGGCAUUUGAAGGCUUUACUGUUCCCAGUUUUAUAACACUCAAUUUUUUUUUUCUAAGAUGUGUGUGAACCAAAUAUCCCUCCUUAUUUCCAAAGGCACCACUUCUGACCGCAGGAAACCAGUAGAAUGGUUUACCGCGAGUGUACCUGGCAGUUCUUCGCUCUGGCUGCUUGUAUGGAAGGAAAAAGAGAUUAGUACAGCUUCGCCCUUUCAUCUGUUCUGCAGCUGGCUGUUGUUUAUACACACUUUUGUUUGGAUGUGCUUUCUUUUUCUAGUCAUUGUUGGGAGUGCCACUGUUUGCUUGUUGCACAGACUGGCUGUACUUUUAUUUUUUUGCGCAUGUGAUUGAGAAGUUUCAUAAAUAGGGGAUUCAAAGUCAUGAGACACUAUCAGACACUGCGUAAGCAGCGCAUUGCGUGGCUCGGUGCCACUGAUACAACUUCUUGUGCGUUCCUGUAGUCCCUUUAGUUCUCGAAAACCACUUGCAUCCUCUAUUCCUAAAACGCUUUAUUGUGUCGGCCAACUUUAAGCUGUAAAGAGCAUCUCGUGAUAUUUGCAUCUGUAGCUCUUUUCUUAAAGUACUACUGACAUGCAAUUUUAGACUUCUAAUUUUUUUUUUUUUUUGCAUUAAAUAAAGGUCCUAGACCUCAGAACUCUACAAAAAAUACCGACAAGCUUCAAUAUUCCUAAAUAAUUUACAGGAAGAGCUUUUAUUUUAUCGAGGGCCUUUAUUUAAAGCAAGAAAUAAAAGUCAAGAAUGUCAUGUGAGCAUGCCUUAAAAAGUGAGCAGGGACUAGUUUGUCUAUGUGCAGCUUAAUGCUUUGCAAUUCUAAAGCCUUUUAGUGCAGCUAUGCACACUUCACUGUCGUAGGACAUUUUGUGGAUUGUUGACUGUUUCUUUAUUUUAUAGUUACCAUUUUCUAGUUUUUAUGUCCUCUGCAGCAAGCGUCAGCGCUUUUAUUUUUCCGUGUGAAUGAACUUGUUGCCGAAUUACCAAAUGUCCAUUGCAUUCUGAGCACUGUCACUGUUUCGUGCAAGUAUUUUUACACCAUUCCUACUGCAUUCUUUCUUGAUACUAGUGAAAGUUGCUUGAAACUAAGGUACUUAUUUUUGAUGUGUCCAUAUUUGUGCGUGUAUCCAAGAUUUUUUGAAGCGCUUGUUGGUAUAGCUUCUUCACAGUAACUUUUCACACUUGGCUGGAGCAGAGAACAUUUUUAAUUUUCUUUGCUUCAUUGGUUUGGUUGUUGAAAGAGGCAACACAACAUGCAGCUGUAAGUGGUUUAAAGUGUAUAGCCACAGUUCGUUUCAAAGCACUGCAUCAAAUACCUGAAAUAGAGUUAUUUAACUUUUGGGGAUGCCUUUACAUCCAUGAGGCACGUGCUCCAGACUAGUGCAAUUGUAACAGUUAUUUGAACGACCAUCCUUUUUCCCCAGCACAUUUGUAUUAUAGAGUCGCUCUGAAAGAGGUAUCCAGGGAGAUUAGUUUUUGUAACUUAACAUAAAAAAAAAAUUUUUUUGUCACUUAUUCUUUUCUCGCACUUUCAAGGUGCUCACUGUGUGAUGUGAACAUUCCUUAUUGUCUCUGCCUCUAUUAUAAACCUGUUAUCUUCUCAGAGGCUCUGUCAUUCUUGGUGGCCAGCAACCACUUCUGUGAGACAGGGUUGGCAAUUUCAUUAACAUAAGCAUGCUGUGUAAGUUUGAAUGCUAUUUGCUCAUGUAAGUAAUGUGUGUGUGUGAGUGUGUUUUGGAACAUGGAAUUUGCAGGUCUAUUCCAGAAAAAGGUGCAAGUAGUAGUACUUGGAAAGUUUGUUUCCACUGUGAGCAGUUAUCUAAGUCUGUGGACGUUAUCUUGCAUGUGGUUGAAAAACAUU
rnacentral:misc_RNA from 1 species